AGAGUUUGAUUAUGGCUCAGAAUCAACGCUGGCGGCGCGCCUAACACAUGCAAGUCGAACGAGAAAGUGGAGCAAUCCAUGAGUAAAGUGGCGUACGGGUGAGUAACACGUGGAUGAUCUGCCCUUUAGUGGGGAAUACCGUUGGGAAACCGACGACAAUACCGCAUAAGCUCGAGAGAGGAAAGCAGCAAUGCGCUGAAGGAGGAGUCCGCGGCCGAUUAGCUAGUUGGUAGGGUAAUGGCCUACCAAGGCUGUGAUCGGUAGCCGGCCUGAGAGGGCACACGGCCACACUGGCACUGAAACACGGGCCAGACUCCUACGGGAGGCAGCAGUGGGGAAUCUUGCACAAUGGGGGAAACCCUGAUGCAGCGACGCCGCGUGAGCGAUGAAGCCCUUCGGGGUGUAAAGCUCUUUCGGCAGGGAAGAUUAUGACGGUACCUGCAGAAGCAGCUGCGGCUAACUACGUGCCAGCAGCCGCGGUAAUACGUAGGCAGCAAGCGUUGUUCGGAGUUACUGGGCGUAAAGGGUGCGUAGGCGGCUCUAUAAGUAUGGUGUGAAAUCUCCCGGCUUAACUGGGAGGGUGCGCUAUAGACUGUGGGGCUAGAGGGUGGGAGAGGAAAGUGGAAUUCCUGGUGUAGCGGUGAAAUGCGUAGAUAUCAGGAGGAACACCGGUGGUGUAAACGGCUUUCUGGACCAUUUCUGACGCUGANNCACGAAAGCGUGGGUAGCAAACAGGAUUAGAUACCCUGGUAGUCCACGCCCUAAACGAUGCAUAUUUGGUGUNNNUCAUUCAGUUGAUCUGUGCCGG
rnacentral:rRNA from 1 species